UGAUCCGGAGAUGUCUGAAUGGGGAAACCCACAUGAGCAAACCUCAUGUAUCCUACAGCCAAUACAUAACUGUAGGAAGGGAACCCGGGGAACUGAAACAUCUAAGUACCCGGAGGAAAAGAAAGAAAACUCGAUUCCGUAAGUAGCGGCGAGCGAACGCGGAGGAGCCUAAACCGGAAUGCGUGCAUUCCGGGGUUACGGACUGCAUUUAAGAUUCUUUGAAGCUAACAGAACGGUUUUGGGAAAGCCGGCCAGAGAGGGUGAAAGCCCCGUACGUGAAAGCUGAUGAGACUGAGCAGGAUCCAGAGUACCACGAGACACGUGGAACCUUGUGGGAAAUCAGGGGGACCACCCCCUAAGGCUAAAUACUACUUAGUGACCGAUAGCGCAUAGUACUGUGAAGGAAAGGUGAAAAGGACCCCGGGAGGGGAGUGAAAGAGAACCUGAAACCCUGUGUCUACAAGCUGUGGAAGCACUUUAUAUGUGCAACCGCGUACUUUUUGUAGAACGGUCCGGCGAGUUACGCUUACUGGCAAGGUUAAGCACUUCAGGUGCGGAGCCGUAGGGAAACCAAGUCUUAAGAGGGCCAGAGUCAGUAGGAGUAGACCCGAAACCGGGUGAUCUAUCCAUGUCCAGGUUGAAGCUGCCGUAAGAGGUAGUGGAGGACCGAACCCACAUCCGUUGAAAAGGGUGGGGAUGAGGUGUGGAUAGGGGAGAAAUUCCAAUCGAACCCGGAGAUAGCUGGUUCUCCUCGAAAUAGCUUUAGGGCUAGCCUCGAUACAGAUUUGCGGAGGUAGAGCACUGAAUUUCCUAGGGGGCGUCAAAGCCUACCGAAGAAUAUCAAACUCCGAAUGCCGCGUAAUCGAUUAUCGGGAGUCAGACUGCACGAGAUAAGUUGGGCGGUCAAAAGGGAAAGAGCCCAGACCUUCAGUUAAGGUCCCAAAGUGUGCGUUAAGUGGAAAAGGAUGUGGGAUUUCGAAGACAACCAGGAUGUUGGCUCAGAAGCAGCCAUCCAUUCAAAGAGUGCGUAAUAGCUCACUGGUCGAGAGGUCCUGCGCCGAAAAUGUCCGGGGCUGAAACGCGCCACCGAAACUAAGGAACCGAAAGGUUGGUAGAGGAGCAUUGCAUGCGGGAAGAAGCAGUACCGAAAGGAGCUGUGGACUGCAUGGAAGAGAGAAUGCCGGAAUGAGUAGCGAGAUAGAGGUGGGAAUCCUCUAGGCCGAAUAUCCAAGGUUUCCAGAGUAAAGCUGAUCUGCUCUGGGUAAGUCGGGGCCUAAGGCGAGGACGAGAGUCGUAGCCGAUGGACAACAGGUGGAGAUUCCUGUACUGCGGUAUGACAGAACUGUGGGGACACGUAAGGAAAGCGGAAGCCGGG
rnacentral:rRNA from 1 species